GUUGUGGCUCAGUGGUAAAGCGCUUGCCUAACAUGUGCAAGGCCCUGGGUUCGAUCUUUAGCACAACA
rnacentral:tRNA from 1 species